UACGGAGGGGGCUAGCGUUGUUCGGAAUUACUGGGCGUAAAGCGCACGUAGGCGGACCAGCAAGUUAGGGGUGAAAUCCCGGGGCUCAACCCCGGAACUGCCUUUAAAACUGUUGGUCUGGAGGUCGAGAGAGGUGAGUGGAAUUCCGAGUGUAGAGGUGAAAUUCGUAGAUAUUCGGAGGAACACCAGUGGCGAAGGCGGCUCACUGGCUCGAUACUGACGCUGAGGUGCGAAAGCGUGGGAGCAAACAGG
rnacentral:rRNA from 1 species